GUAAAGAAUCUGCCUGUAAUACAGGAGACCUGGGUUCGAUCCUGGGUCAGGAAGAUCCCCUGCAGCAAGGAAUCAAGUCAACGCUGACUGGAGGCUUCUGACCUGAGAGUCUGGAACCCCCAGCUCCCUCCUGUUCCCAGCUCCACCAGCACCCGACUCCCCUCCUUGUCCCCCCAGCCUUGAUUUAGCCUUUUCAAGUGGAGGCCAUAUUCUGCCUUCUCCUCUGGGCCUUUGAUCCUGUCUCAAGGCCUCUCACUCAUCACAUCCGCUCUCUUCAAGACCGGAAGUCAGAUGAAGGGGAUCUUCCUGACCCAGGGUCUCCUGCAUUGGCAGAUGGAUUUCACUGAGCCACCAAGGAAGCCCAACUCACAUUUCGAGGCGCUUAUUUCAGGCUGGAAACCUCACAUUGCCAGAGAUGGAGCCACCAGAUACCAAGGAAACAUUGGCUGAAAGAAUUUGAAUUCAGAAGAUGGAGCCCAUUGGGAAAAAAAAAAAUCAAAUAGAUAUUCAUUGUUUAAGGCAAAGAAACGUGGUGCCACUCCUGCUUCUGGGAUCCAAGGC
ensembl:lncRNA